rnacentral:lncRNA from 10 species
UCGUGAGUUAACUUUUCACAUUUUAAUUUAUUUUUUCAUUGACAAGUCACAAUUGCAUGUAUUUAUGGUAUACAAUAUGAUGCUUUGAUGCACGUAUACAUUGUGGAAUGGCUAAAUCAAGCUGUUUGAAUAUGCAUUACCUUACAGAUGUAUCUUUUGUGGUCAAAACACAAAAUUUAGCAAUUUUCAAGUGUACAAUGUAUUAUUAUUAACCACAGUCACCAUGAUAUACAAUAGAUCUCUUUAACUUAUUCCUUCUCUCUAACUGAAAUUUUGUGUCCUUUGACUAAAAUCUCCCCAAUCCCCCAAAUCCUAGCCUCUGGUAAUCACCAUUUUUCUCUGUUUCUGAGUUUGAUUUUCUUUUAAUUCCACAUAAUAAGUGAGAUCGCAAACUAUUUGUCUUUACAUGCCUAGGUUAUUUCACUCAACAUAAUGUCCUUCAGGUUCAUCCAUGUUGUUGCAAAUGACAGAAUUUUUUCUUUUUUAAGGCUGAAUAAUAUUCCUUUGUGUAUAUAUACCAUAUUUUCUUUAUCCAUUCAUCUGUUCAUAGAUACUUGGGUCAACUUUUAAAGAAAUGCAUAUUUCCUUUCAGUUUAUUUUGAAUAUACAGUACACGGUUUGGAUUUUUCAACUCUUUUAAAGAGGAGCAAGAACAGUCAGCUUGUUUGUAGUAAAUCUUGUACAGAUGUGAGAAGGUCCUGAUUGCUCUAUGCCAAGAAUUUGUUUGACUACAGGUUUUGUCUUGAGCCCUGAUGUGAGAGCUGGAGAUCCCAAGAUGAAUAAGACACCGUCGCUACUCUCAAGGAACUCACAGCCCAGUGAAAGACACAGAGAAGAAACUAGACAGUUGUAGUUGUAUCAGAC